UUGCGGUUUGAAGCAGUGAGUCACCUUCUGGCUGCAAGUCAAGGAACUCUCACUGCGCCCUUGUUUGGACAAGACGAGGAGGCGCACUCAGAGUCAGAGACCCCGGGGCAGAGACAGGGGCAAGAAGAAGGGGCCACCGAGACCCCAAGAGAGUCAGGGAGACAGACGCACGAAACGACCGACACAACCAGGGACAGUAUCCUUGGAGUUGGAUUUCGACUGGGUUCUGCCAAUGGGAUGUAUCCAUGCGAGAUUCUGGAACUAACAUCAGAGAGAGUCCAAGCUUCUAACUUUUAUCAGCGGCAGUGACAAUAGUCAAGCAGCAUUGAUGACAGACUGAAGCUGGUGGGGAGGGGUUUAUUGUUAUAAUAUUAGGGUCUGACGAUGGUAGGACGGACACACUGACCUCUGAUGAGAUGAAAAAGCAGAACUCUAUUACUUACAGCAUCAAGUGGGAGAAAGUUGCCAUGCGGGGCUGUGUCCCUACAUGCAACCCCCUGGUUGCACCCAGGACAGGGGAACAGCAAGCUGGAAUGUAGGAGGCAGCUUCUCUAUGGCGAUUGCGCCACUGGACUCCAGCCUGGGCAACAGAGCGAGACUCCGUCUCAAAAAAAAAAAAAAGAAAAGAAAAAAGAAGAGAAUGUGAUGAAAAACUGCAUGCCAAUACAUUUGAAAUUUUAAAUCCAAUAGGUAAAUCCUGAGAAAAAAUAUAGCUUACUAAUACUGACUCAAGCAAAUGGCAAGAGUUUAGAAAGUACCAGUGACGUGCCUGAUAGAAUCUCACCACAAGAUGGAAGCCAACUCGUCAGAAGCCUGGAAAGCCCACCCAGCGUGGGACCUCUGUGGGUCCAGGAUCUUGGAAUGGCAUCCCAUGGUUCAAUCUUCCGGAUUCAACCACAUAAAUUUACCCCACCCAUGUCGUGGACCCAAGCUUCCUACCAUGUAUCCUUAGCUUAAAUGCAAGAUAGCACUAUUUUGUUCAUCUUGAUUGGAGUGAGAAAUGAAUAGGUCCAUGCACAUAUAUUUCUUUUACCACAACAAGAUGAUGAAGAAAUAAAUCCGUAAUAUCGA
rnacentral:lncRNA from 1 species